rnacentral:rRNA from 1 species
UACAGAGGGUGCUAGCGUUGUUCGGAUUUACUGGGCGUAAAGGGCGCGUAGGCGGCAAUUCAAGUCAUCUGUGAAAUCUCCGGGCUUAACUCGGAACGGUCAGAUGAUACUGCUUUGCUCGAGUGCGGAAGGGGCAAUCGGAAUUCUUGGUGUAGCGGUGAAAUGCGUAGAUAUCAAGAGGAACACCUGAGGUGAAGACGGGUUGCUGGGCCGACACUGACGCUGACAGCGCGAAAGCCAGGGGAGCAAACGGG